rnacentral:rRNA from 1 species
GACGAACGCUGGCGGCGUGCUUAACACAUGCAAGUCGAACGGAAAGGCCCUGCUUUUGUGGUGUGCUCGAGUGGCGAACGGGUGGGUAACACGUGAGUAACCUGCCCUUGACUUUGGGAUAACUUCAGGAAACUGGGGCUAAUACCGGAUAGGAGCUCCUGCUGCAUGGUGGGGGUUGGAAAGUUUCGGCGGUUGGGGAUGGACUCGCGGCUUAUCAGCUUGUUGGUGGGGUAGUGGCUUACCAAGGCUUUGACGGGUAGCCGGCCUGAGAGGGUGACCGGCCACAUUGGGACUGAGAUACGGCCCAGACUCCUACGGGAGGCAGCAGUGGGGAAUAUUGCACAAUGGGCGGAAGCCUGAUGCAGCAACGCCGCGUGCGGGAUGACGGCCUUCGGGUUGUAAACCGCUUUCGCCUGUGACGAAGCGUGAGUGACGGUAAUGGGUAAAGAAGCACCGGCUAACUACGUG